CGCGUAGUUAGCCGGUGCUUCUUAUCCAGGUACCGUCACCCGAAGGCUUCUUCCCUAGCGAAAGAGGUUUACAACCCGAAGGCCGUCAUCCCUCACGCGGCGUCGCUGCAUCAGGCUUCCGCCCAUUGUGCAAUAUUCCCCACUGCUGCCUCCCGUAGGAGUCUGGGCCGUGUCUCAGUCCCAAUGUGGCCGUCCACCCUCUCAGGCCGGCUACCCGUCGUCGCCUUGGUAGGCCAUUACCCCACCAACAAGCUGAUAGGCCGCGGGCUCAUCCUCCACCGAAAAAACUUUCCACCAACCACACUAAAGAUUGGUCCUAUCCGGUAUUAGACCCAGUUUCCCAGGCUUAUCCCGAAGUGAAGGGCAGAUCACCCACGUGUUACUCACCCGUUCGCCACUCGAGUACCCCUGCAAGCAGGGGCCUUUCCGUUCGACUUGCAUGUGUUAAGCACGCCGCCAGCGUUCGUCCUGUAGCCAGGAUCAAACUACU
rnacentral:rRNA from 1 species